UCUAGGUAUUAAUGUCAUGGCUGAACUAGAUUUCCCUCGCCAUGCUGAAUCAUGGGGGACUGGUUACCCUGAUCUUUGGCCCUCUCCAUCUUGCCGAGAGCCCCUUGAUGUUACUAAAAACUUUACAUUCGAUGUGAUCGCUGGCAUUUUGGCAGAUAUGAGAAAGAUAUUCCCAUUUGAGUUUAUCACCUGGGCGGUGAUGAAGUAAAUACAGAUUGCUGGAAGAAUACAACUCAUGUCAAGGAAUGGUACAAUCAUAUGACUCUUUCUUUUCAUGUCACUCACCGUAUUUACUUCCUGUCAAACCAAAACCACCCAAGAAGGUAUAUCCUUAGUCAGAAGAACCAAUAUGUUCUGAAACCAAAAGAGAGAUUGAUCAGCUCACAAAUGGGAUCGAUGUGACCAGUGGCGGAUGUGUUAUCUAACAAUAUUCACAAAUCACAACCACCGAAGAAUGCCAUUCACAAUAUUCUUUGUACGACCAUGUGUAUUUUGGAUUUUUUUUUUUUGGGUCAAAGUGUAUUUUGGAAACAAAAGUUUCUUUGUAUUUUAAAAAGAUUUGGUGAAAUGUUAUACAUUAAUUAGUUUA